rnacentral:rRNA from 1 species
AUUGAACGCUGGCGGCAUGCCUUACACAUGCAAGUCGAACGGCAGCACGGGAGCAAUCCUGGUGGCGAGUGGCGAACGGGUGAGUAAUGUAUCGGAACGUGCCCAGUCGUGGGGGAUAACGUAGCGAAAGUUACGCUAAUACCGCAUACGAUCUAUGGAUGAAAGCAGGGGAUCGCAAGAACUCUCGCGAUUGGAGGGGCCGAUAUCAGAUUAGGUAGUUGGUGGGGUAAAGGCUUACCAAGCCUACGAUCUGUAGCUGGUCUGAGAGGACGACCAGCCACACUGGGACUGAGACACGGCCCAGACUCCUACGGGAGGCAGCAGUGGGGAAUUUUGGACAAUGGGCGAAAGCCUGAUCCAGCCAUGCCGCGUGCAGGAUGAAGGCCUUCGGGUUGUAAACUGCUUUUGUACGGGACGAAACGGCCUUUUCUAAUACAGGAGGCUAAUGACGGUACCGUAAGAAUAAGCACCGGCUAACUACGUGCCAGCCGCCGCAGUAA